GCAUUGAAAACAGGAUUGUAUGGUUUGGAUCAUAUGCAAUAUCUCAUGCCGUUCUAAAAGAUUACAUUCGGCUUUUCAUAACGUCGAGUUUACCUAUGUACAAAUAUUAUGUUGCGUAUGUACAAAGGCAAGUGUCUUCGGGUAAUUUUAUUUUCCCAAAGGAAAUAACUUACGCCAAGUUUCGUCUCGCUAUCAUUGCCAUGAUACGGUUGCUUGAUAUUGAUUUUGACUAUGGGUUUUUUUGUGAAUUAUGUGGAAGAAUUCCCCAAAAGGUG